CUGCUGUCAGAAAGGGUCGCUACCUACCUGGCAGAAUGACCCCCCCAGAGCAACAAGAGAGAAAGAGAACAAAGAAAAGGGACCAGGAGGAGUGGGGUCUAGUUGAGGAGCCCACCCUCCUUGCUAAAUGAUAGUGGGACAAAGCCUGUGCCCAUGGGAAGGGGCAGUUCAGCAAGGAAAGCAGAAUCAGGCCCAGUCAAGCAGGCAGGCAACAGAUAAAGAGACUGGAAAACAGGUUAGGAGCCCUGAGGGGCAUAGUGGAAGGAGUAAGGGAAGCAGUGAGC